AACGUAGGGGACAAGCGUUAUCCGGAUUUACUGGGCGUAAAGCGCCCGUAGGCGGCCUGACAAGUUGGACGUGAAAGCUCCUGGCUUAACUGGGAGAGGCCGUUCAAAACUGUCAAGCUAGAGUCUGGAAGAGGAGAGCGGAAUUCCCGGUGUAGCGGUGGAAUGCGUAGAGAUCGGGAGGAACACCAGUGGCGAAAGCGGCUCUCUGGUCCAAAACUGACGCUGAGGGGCGAAAGCGUGGGGAGCGAUCCGG
rnacentral:rRNA from 1 species